rnacentral:rRNA from 1 species
GACGAACGCUGGCGGCGUGCUUAACACAUGCAAGUCGAACGGAAAGGCCCUGCUUUUGUGGGGUGCUCGAGUGGCGAACGGGUGAGUAACACGUGAGUAACCUGCCCUUGACUUUGGGAUAACUUCAGGAAACUGGGGCUAAUACCGGAUAGGAGCUCCUGCUGCAUGGUGGGGGUUGGAAAGUUUCGGCGGUUGGGGAUGGACUCGCGGCUUAUCAGCUUGUUGGUGGGGUAGUGGCUUACCAAGGCUUUGACGGGUAGCCGGCCUGAGAGGGUGACCGGGGAGAAGGGGAGUGAGACAGGGAGCGGACGGCGGCGGGAGGCAGGAGGGGGGAGUAUGGCAGGAUGGGCGGCGGCCUGAGGCCGCAUGGCCGCAUGCGGGAGGAGGGCAGACGGGAUGUAGACAGCUACCGCCUGGGACGAAGGGUGCGCGACGGUAAUGGGUAAAGAAGCAAUGGCUCAAUACGUG